UCUGGUGCUCACAAAGCAGAAAUGCCCCUUGCAACUCCCCGACAAGCAAUGAGACCCCAAAGCCGCUGUGAUGGCGAGCGAUUGCCUGCCCCUGCAUGUUCUGCAGCAAAACAAGAAUUAGAGAAUUAGAGGCUUGAGAGGCAGCAGAAAAGGGAAGAAACAAGACAGAACCUGCAUAUCGGGUCACGGGAAGCCACUGGCCUCGGAAACCUGAGCAGGGAAGGACUUCUACCUGUCAAGACAGAGACGGCGAAUUUGGAUCAAUGGGUCUCUUGUAUCCUAGGUUGACCAUGAACUCACUCUGCAGCGGAGGAUGACUCUGAACUUUUGAUCACCCUGCUUCCGUCUCCCAGGUUGCUUCUGGUCAUGGUGCCUCAUCGCUGCAGUAGUAACCCUGACUAAGACAUGUAGUCAGACCCUUUCCCAUCCCCCACCCCAGGCAGCCAGCCCACUUAUCUGUUCAGUCACCAUGCUCACUACUGCCACCUCUAGAAUGUCACAUCAACAGAACCAUGGACUCUUUCACGCCUUUUCCUCCUCUCUUCCCCGCCUUUGGUUUUCUCUCUCGAUGCUAUUAUAAACAAGAUUUCCUAACUUAGGUUUAUGUGCAUGUGCACAAACGUGUGUGGCACAUGUUUGGAGGUGAAAGGACUGCUUCAAGGGCACUGUCUCCUCCUGGGCUCUGGAGACUGAACUCAGGUUAUCAGACUUGGUGGCAAGUGCCUUUACCCGCUGAGUCGUUUUGUUGGCCCUAAACAGAAUUUCUUUUCUUUUUUAAGAUUUAUUUAUUAUUUAUACAGUGUUCUGCCUGCAUGUGUGCCUGCCUGCCAGAAGAGGGCACCAGAUCUUAUUAUAGAUGGUUAUAAGCCACCAUGUGGUUGCUGGGAAUUGAACUCAGGACCUUUGGAAGGGCAGAUAAUGGUCUUAAUCUCUGAGCCAUCUCUCCAGCCCCUAAACAGAAUUUCUUAAAGCUUCAUAAGCCAAGCAUUUGUGAAAAGAAGUUUCUUUUACCUGGUAUCUUUACUUCCUGUGACCUUGCUGAAUUUACCAGUCAGUUUUGAGUUGUUAUAGAAAUGUCCCACGGUUUCAUAACAAUUUCAUCACCUGUGACUGAAGAGGCUUUCACUUCUUCCUUUCAAACAUUAGCAACCUCAAGCCAGUAUCCAAGAGACCAGUGUUGAGAAAGAGACAGCGGUCCUCCCUGAGGAUGCUACUUACCUGGACUAGCACCUUAGCUUACCUUUCCACCUUUGGAAAGGAAGAAGACUAGGUUAGGAGCUGCCUGCAGAGGCAGAUUCCCUGAGAACUUUAGUCUGCUGUUUUGGCACCUACCAGAGGUGAGACCUUCCUGGCAAUUGCCAUAAAUACAUAUACAUAUGUGUAUAUUUACAUCUGUGUAUAUAUCUAUAUAGUGAAAUGAUUAUAUAUGCCCCCAUUUUUCCAUUCCCAUAUUCCUUCAACAUAUCCCUUUCUAACUUCCUCUCCGCCCACCCCGUCUGUCUGUCUCUCCCACAAAGUACAUGGAUGUGAGGCCAUCCAUUGGAACAUCCCUAGAAAUGAGUGAUUUUUUUCUCCCCCAGCAACUAUCCACUCCCAAUAGUUCCCCAGGAAAGAGUGAGUUCUGGAGAGCAUCUAGCUUGUCAAUGCCAGGAUUUUGGCUAGUUUGAUCUUGUGCAGGUAACCACAGAUGCUGUGAGCUGACUGCAAAUGUUCACACCACAUCCAGAAAACAGAGUUUCACAGAAGACUUCUCCAGCCUCCGCCAAGCCUCGCUGGUGGUGGUGUUAACUGAGACAUCCUAUUAGAGGCUGAGCUCAGUCUCUUAUUCUUUAGAGCAUGACACUUGAACUGCAGAGUGAAGACAUACCCUGAGAGUGAAAGAAAAUGGGAAUAAAGCAAGAUGGGGUCACUGACAGCAACCUAGCACAUAGUUUUUGCGCCUAUCAUUUAUUUUCUUACCUUAUUACACUGUCUAGGACCACUAAAACAGCGAUGAAGAGGAGGUAAGAGCUAACAUCUUUGCUGCUAAUCUUGGGGAAUACAAUACCAUUAAGUAUGAUGUCAGCUAUAGGAUUGUUCUAGACACUAUUUGUCUUGAGACAAAGUCUCACUUAGCUCAGGCUGGCUUUGAGUUCCUGAUCCUCUUGCCUCUACCUCCUUAGUGGAGGGCUAGGAGUCAGACAGGUAGGCAGGCAGGAAGGGAAAGAGGUUCUAGGUAGAUAAAUACACUUUUCACUUAAACAUUCAAGGUG